rnacentral:rRNA from 1 species
UGUAAAGUAAUAAUUAAAGCAUAUAAUGGAUGCCUUGGAUUUGAGAGUCGAUGAAGGACGUAAUUAAAAAAAACGAAAGGUUGUGGAAAAUUUUAUUAUUUACCACAAAUAUCCGAAUGGGGUAACCUGUUAUAUAGGAGAUAUAACAUUACUUAUCUUAUAAAUAAGUAAAGAAUACUUAAGGAACUGAAACAUCUUAGUACUUAAAGGAAAAGAAAACAAAAGUGAUUCCGUUAGUAGUGGCGAGCGAAAGCGGAGAAGUCUAAACUAUAAUUGUAUUUAUUGCUUUUAUAGGGUUAUAGGGUUAUAAAUUUAAAAAUUUUAUUUAUUAUAGUAGAAAUAUUUGGAAAAAUAUAUCAAAGAAGGUGAUAGUCCUGUAUACGAAAUAAUAAAUAUAAUUUAUAUAUAAUACCUAAGUAAAACGAGACACGUGUAAUCUUGUUUGAAUUUGCCAGGACCAUCUGGUAAGACUAAAUACUACUCAAAUACCGAUAGUGAACUAGUACCGUGAGGGAAAGGUGAAAAGAAUUUCUAUAAGAAAUGUGAAAAAGAUCCUGAAAUUAUAUGCUUACAAUCAGUCGGAGCUUUUAUAUGAUUGAAAAAAUUAUAUAUAAAGUGACGUCUUGCCUUUUGCAUAAUGAACCUACGAGUUAAUUUUUCUGGCGAGGUUAAAUAAUUAAGUUAUGAAGCCAUAGCGAAAGCGAGUUUUAAUAGAGCGUUAGUCAGAGGAAUUAGACGCGAAACCGAGUGAUCUAUCCAUGAGCAAGUUGAAUCUAUGGUAAAACAUAGUGGAGGACUGAACCGGUAGAUGUUGAAAAAUCUUCGGAUGACUUGUGGAUUGGAGUGAAAGGCUAAUCAAACUCGGAGAUAGCUCGUACUCCUCGAAAUGCAUUUAGGUGCAGCGUUAUGUUAUAAUAUUAUAUAGGUAGAGCUACUAAUUUGAUAAGGGGGUUUCAUUACCUACCGAAUCUUGAUAAACUCCGAAUUAUUUUUGUAUGUAAAGCCCUUAUAAUUACAAAAUUAUGUAGUAAUAUUGUUUUUGCUUAGAAUCAAUUACUUU